GAGAUUGAAGUUUGCCAACUGACACUCUAUAUAUAACCUGUUGGGUAACCAACUAUGGCAAUAAACUGAUGUAUGGAAUAGACGUUGCGGACCCGGGGGCGGUACCCGGCGCCUCCACCACUCUCUCUCAAGAGUUGGAAAUGCGGGGGCGAAAUAGGAUCGACGUGCGUAAUAAAGAUAUAACUUUUGCCCAGAAUGAUACCUCUGUGAAGGGUCACAACUUGUAAAUGCAAACGAUAACGAAGCAUUUGCUGUAGCCGCCUAAUAGGUUAGCUACGCGGGGUUCGAAGGGCACCUAGCAACAGAAGCCCUUCACC
rnacentral:tmRNA from 1 species